rnacentral:rRNA from 1 species
UGCAGUCGAGCGGAUGAAGGGAGCUUGCUCCUGGAUUCAGCGGCGGACGGGUGAGUAAUGCCUAGGAAUCUGCCUGGUAGUGGGGGAUAACGUCCGGAAACGGGCGCUAAUACCGCAUACGUCCUGAGGGAGAAAGUGGGGGAUCUUCGGACCUCACGCUAUCAGAUGAGCCUAGGUCGGAUUAGCUAGUUGGUGGGGUAAAGGCCUACCAAGGCGACCAUCCGUAACUGGUCUGAGAGGAUGAUCAGUCACACUGGAACUGAGACACGGUCCAGACUCCUACGGGAGGCAGCAGUGGGGAAUAUUGGACAAUGGGCGAAAGCCUGAUCCAGCCAUGCCGCGUGUGUGAAGAAGGUCUUCGGAUUGUAAAGCACUUUAAGUUGGGAGGAAGGGCAGUAAGUUAAUACCUUGCUGUUUUGACGUUACCAACAGAAUAAGCACCGGCUAACUUCGUGCCAGCAGCCGCGGUAAUACGAAGGGUGCAAGCGUUAAUCCGAAUUACUGGGCGUAAAGCGCGCGUAGGUGGUUCAGCAAGUUGGAUGUGAAAUCCCCGGGCUCAACCUGGGAACUGCAUCCAAAACUACUGAGCUAGAGUACGGUAGAGGGUGGUGGAAUUUCCUGUGUAGCG